rnacentral:rRNA from 1 species
GUAGGUGGCAAGCGUUGUCCGGAUUUACUGGGCGUAAAGGGCGUGCAGGCGGUUUGUUUAGUCUAGGGUGAAAGCUCCCGGCUUAACUGGGAGAGGUCCUUGGAUACUGGCAAACUUGAGGGAGGCAGAGGAAAGUGGAAUUCCCGGUGUAGUGGUGAUAUGCGUAGAUAUCGGGAGGAACACCAGUGGCGAAGGCGGCUUUCUGGGCCUUACCUGACGCUGAGACGCGAAAGCGUGGGGAGCGAACCGGAUUAGAUACCCGGGUAGUCCACGCCGUAAACUAUGGACACUAGGUGUGGGGGGUAUCGACCCCCUCCGUGCCGCAGCUAACGCAAUAAGUGUCCCGCCUGGGGAGUACGGCCGCAAGGCUAAA